GGACAAGCUAAGCAGAAAAUAGAGUUUUGUGUUCUUUCCUUUCUACUACUUUGCACCUCCUAAGCACAGUUUUGGUGACAUAUGGCACUUCUCCUAAAAAAAUGUCCUGCAAAGAAUCUCUGCCUGCCAUCUGAUGUAUCCAAGAAACUGAGUUCCUGUGGCCCAUUUCUGGAUUAACCCAACAUGAACUGAUGAAGGCCCAGGACAUGCACAAUUCUGCAGGUUAGUUAUGCUCAGCCAUAACAAUGUAAGGAUGCAUCUUGUUAUGGCUGACAGCAAUAUGGUAUGGGAGUCUGACCUGAUAUUUAGAAUAAAAUUAGCUGCUGGAAGGGAGAACAGGCAUUCUUAGUUCAGACAUGUAUUUUAGUAUUUGACUUUAUAAUUGAAAUAUUCCUUUAAUGUAGUUUUUAACUUGACCCAGCUGUGUUUUUAACACACACACUGGGGGUGGUGGGGAAACAUUAUCUGCAAUCAUAUCAUUCACUCCUCCUGGGUAAUGGGCAGGGGUGUGAUUUUUAGCUUACAGCAUAGCCCUACAACUCAACUGCCUGCAUAGAGUAAGUGGGAGUAAUGGAAAAGCUUCCUUUCUAAGUGUGCACGUCACUAGAAUGGGCAGAGAUGUUUCUUGUCAGCUCUUAAAUAUUUGCUGGCAGCAUCAAUACAGGGAUGAGUGUUGAGAUGUGGGAAUAAUGGGUUCGUUUCCAAGCUGUAUGGAGGAUGAAUCUAGAUGCCCCGCCGCCCUAUGUUAUAUAACAGUAUUAUAGUAUGUGAUUUCCCCUCUCCCUUUCCUGCAGCACAGCUCUCCCAGCCUCCCAGCCUGUGCUCAUCGCAGUGCUCUCUACAACAUGGCUCCUCCUCCCGAGCUGCCUGCCCAUUCCUUCUGGCCCGCAUCUCUUCCCUGUCCCUUGCUGGGGUAGCUGUAAUCCCCACAGGAAUGUGGCCCACGGCCUCGGGCAUGUGACUCCAGAGAGCUUCUGAUGGUGAAUGCAAAGCAGGAAAAAGCAAUCUUGUGACAUCUAGCAGCGUAGGAAGGGAAGCGCUGGGCAUCUGUGGGCUGUUCGGUGUGCGUGGCUGUCCAGCCACCUCAUCAGACAGAAAAACAGAGGCUAGACUUUUCGGCUGCAUGUGUUGUUUCCCUGUCCAUUGUGUCUGGGUGAUGUAUUCUCUGCCUGUGGUUUUAAUAAAUGUCUUUCUAAGCUACUUUCUGCUUCAGUCCCCUUCGGAAUAGCUCAUUCCAACUUGGCUGCUUCAGUAUGCUGAAGAUGUUAAGUCAGUUAUGUGGAAAAGGGGAAAAAAGAAAACUUCAUGUAGAACAUCUGAGAAAGCUGUAACUGUAUCUCUGUGAAGAUGCUAUAUGCUACACAGAAGUAUUUGCCAUGAGAAUCCCAAACUACUGCUAGGACCCAAGCUUGUGUUGGAUUCUAAUAAGCCUUUGCAGGUAGGAUGUCGCUGUGUUGUAGAGUACCCUGCAGAUUUCAACAAUUCCAGUGAAUUUCUGUUUGUGGAAACUGAGUUUUGUUCUACGUAGUAAGCACCCAUCUUAACCCUGCUGGAGCAGAACAGCCCUUUUCCUAGCAGAAACCAGAGCUGUUGUUGAUUAAUGUCUUGCUGAAAACUAAGUCUUUGCCAUCUGUUCCGCCCCCUCACUACGAAUGCCACUCUCAUUAUGUUGAUUAUGUAAUUAAAAAUGAAAAUAUAUUUUGGUAAGAGUGCUGCAUAGGCAUCUGUGCUUAUUCUUCUGUUCCUGUUCACUGCCCCCUGCCCCCGUCCCAUACAGAAGGGAAAAGACAACAAUUGUUCCACUCGGCAGUGGCUUUAUAUUGAAGCUGUCGCACUGGCUGCCAGACUGGUGCACGUCAUGGGAGCAGCCACUCGAGCCCCGCUGUGUCUGAGCUGCGGCUCCUUCGGAAACCCCGGCUAUUAGGUUCAUGAGAAAUCCGUGGCAGGAAGCUGACCCUUAAACCAAGGCUCCUUUAAGUUCUUGUGAUGGGUUAACUUGAAUCCAGAACAUGAAAAGAGAAGAGAAAGAGGCCUGGCUACUUCAUAAGAGAUAGUGUGACCUCUGAGAUCAGCGAGGCUGCUCAUGUUACAAAUAUGGCCUGUCUAUCUAAGGACCGAGGAAGAGAAAGAGAGGAGGGGUAGCCUUCUUGUAAGUGGGUUAGAGCAAUUACUGAGGUCUCUUACAGCAAAUGAAGUCGUUAGUGUGAGUCACGUUCCCUUUUUUCCUCUCUGCUGCCAAGUUUUAAGCAGUAACCAGACAGGGAGGAAAAAAAGGGAAAAGCAACAAUGGAGAAGAGUUGAACUGAAACAACCCUUCAUUCAGGGUAUUGUUUGACAUUUUAGUUCUGAUUGUACAUAGAGAUAAAGGACCUAUAAAUAUCCUGUCUGCUGAAAUUCCUUAUAACAACAUCGCCUGUCAGCUGAACAAAUAGGUUAGGUUCUCUAAAUACUACCUAAUUACACAUGUAAAUACAAAUUACUGAUUGUAUCCCUGCACCGCGUGGAAUGAAGGCCUGAUCACUGGGAGGAACAUUAAUCUCCUGUUUUACUGAGAUGCCCCAGUCCCAGGAGAGCAAAUGGCACAUACAGCUAUUACUGCUGAAUUGGUGCAAGUUCCGAGAUCAGACUGAAGCAAGCAAGGAGAUAUUUAUCUGGCUGAUGAACGUAGAUGAAAGCCUCUUCUGACGCUUCUGAAAGUAUCUCAGCAUCUAGUUCUGUUUAACAAAUGGCUGGAAGCUUUUCUACUCUGCUUCAGAGCUUUUAAUGAAGCAUUGUGAUUCCCAUUGUGGUCGACUGUUUGACAGUUUUAUUAUUACUGGUAUGCAUAGCGUUUUUUAAUGUUUGACAGCUGGAGAAAGAAGUAUUUUGUGCAUUCAAAUUUUUAGUACAAAGCUGCUGUUUUCUAUUCUGCCUUUGCCUUUGUCUCUUAUUGCUGAUGCGAAUCAAUGAAAGACAGAACUGAUGAAAUUACAUUUGUUUACUUUUUACUUGAUAAUAAUAAGACACAGCCAGCCCUUUGUAAAAGACAGAAAUGGGGGAUGUGAAUGUUUCUACAGUAUUUCUGUGUGGUUUUUUUUUUUUCUUAUAGCAUAAAGGCAUUUAUUUGUUUCUUAUGUCUUGAUUUAUAAGAUAAUGUGCACUUCCUAAUGUAUGUGGAAUAAGAAUGGAGCAAUGAAUGACAGUUAGCAAUGGAUUCCACUUGAAAAUCUCUUAGCUUGUUAUUUUUAUUAAUUCAACAGCAUAAACGCUCGUAGCACAUCACAAAACAAACACCAAGAUAGUUCUGUGAUUCACAGUAGGACUGCCUCUGAUCACUGCUGUAUAUUUGUAUGUAGCUACACAAAAAAGUCCAGUCCACUGGCUUUGGCUUUAUACACACGUGAUUGUUACCAGGCCCCAGCUUUGAUAUAUUGGUACAAUACUGGAAAGAAACAAGCUGCAGAAAUCAGAUAUCCAUGGUUGUUUUGGUUGUGCCUUCCCUCAGAAGAGGACACGCUGAAUACGGAGUGAUUAAGACAGAUGCCUGGACAGGUGAAGGGAGGUGUUCCAGCAGUGGCAGUGCACACAGCAGAGGAGGGAACAAAUUGCUGCAAGACUGCAGGAGCCCAGGAGGAUGUUGCCAUGGAAGGCAUCUUGUCGUGGGGCUCUGCAUAUCUGAAGUAAUAACCGCUGAUGUCAGGGGAAAAAAAAGUAUGCCAGGGAUCCAAUGACCCUAUGAGAGAUGCGGUGUGGAUUUCAGUGGGACAUGGACUGGGCCUCAUAAGCUGCUUGUCUCACACCAACAACCCCCUGAUACUAUCAUGAAAACUUCCCGUUUACAGCGACAGGUGCCGCAGGGGGCUGUAUACUUGGAUAUUAUUAAUUCUUUCCUUAGGAGUGUUUAUUAACAAAUGCUUGCAAGUUGUAUGGUGUGGUGUGGUGUAAACAGGAAGCACUCCAAGGUACUGCAUUGCCCAUGUAAUGCAGCACAUAUUCCAACAGCUUGGCUUUUUUUUUUUCCAAAAUACUGCGACACCACUUCCUUCAAGAAGUCUCUCCUGCCUGCGUGGCUCAUUUCUGCUAUAGAUAUGCAAAGCUGCAAAAGAACCGAUUGUUUUAAAAAUGAAUGUUGAUUUGCUAGACUGGGAACUGAUGUCUGUAAUUUAUAUCCUAUCUUUAAAGUUAUGCAGUACAGACUCUUUGGGCGCUCUGAUCAGCAGACUGAACAAAGCGCAAGAGAAGAGGCUGCCACCUUUCCUCCUGCAGCAUAGUGUUGCCUGGAGAGCAGCGAUGCAGACUGCCCUGCAGGUACUGCAGUGCAUCUCAGCCCAAGCCCUGGGGCAGUGCCUCUUCUGCCACUCUGUGCCAGCAGGCUGGGCUCUGACCGGUGCAGGGAAACAGUUGUUCCAUUUCCAGUCAGCUCUUGUUGUCUGCCAAGAGCAGCAAUGGGAAAGCUAAGAGUGACCGUUCAUAUGUGGAAACUUUAUAUUCACAAUAACGGCGCUGAGGCCUCCAAGCUGUCUCAUAAGGGCUCCAUGCUCUUGUUGUGUGAUGUACCAGUGCUGUCUGUAUUCUGGGCUUUUAUGUGAGCAUCUCAGAAUCCCACUGGCACACUGUUUCCUAUGCCUUGUUCAGACAGUGCUAUGUACAACAGGAGCAGACAGCGGGGAAUUAUACUUGUGCCACCACAAGAUCACUACCUACAUGGUUGUUAUAAACCAAAACGAGUGCUAAGAACAUCACUUGAAAUGAAGUUCUAGUAGCAUUGUCAUGAAGGUUUGGUAUCAUUUCCUAAACUGGUUCUCAGUGAAGGUGCUUCUGUGUCUGCCCCAGGUGUAAUGCAAUUGGGCUGAUAUCAGGACUGAUGCUUUCUUCUCUAUCCUCCCAUCAGUCAAGCUCUUCAUCACACAUACCCCCUUGAUUUUUUAACUGUGAGUGAGAAAGAAUGAAAAUGAAAUUGCUGCAAUAUCUGGACCACAUAAAACCCCAAUAAUCCUGUGUCUAUGUUCUUUAACUUCUGCCCUUAUUGGAGGCAUCCCUUGUCCAGUGUGAAGUGGAACUGAGAGUGACUGGGGGAAACAGACAGUGUGUUUAAGUAUUUGUAAAUCAUGAGCCUUGUGAGGUUUUGUAAUAAUCUUACUGCCUAUUUUGUGUUUUUGUGUAUUCGUCUAGCAACUGAUGAUAUCAAAAACAGAGAGAUCAGGAGGCUGAUAUUACACGCUAAGUCUGUUCUGUAAAAUCUCAGUAGCCUUUUGGUGCAUGGAACUUCGGCACACGCAAACUGUGACUGCAGCGACGUCCUCGUAAGUCACCAUAACAUUCUGUGCAAACACUGACUGUGCAUGUGUUUUGUCACUCCUGCAGAAUAACUCUGGCUCAAUACUUGCAUCAUCCAUAGCUUGUUUACAGAAUUGGAAGUCUUGAGCAAAGCGAAGCUGACUCGUGGAGAAGCUGGUUUUCAAAAGAUACAAGCUCCAGAUAACUAAGGACAAGUGAAGCACACAACAAUAUAGAAAUCACUCGGUUUUACUGCAGCCAACUGAGACAAAGUGUGCUUUGAAGCUGGGAAAUUUCCAUUACUGAAGUGCAGGACAGUGCCUGGAUACUGCUGCUACUGCAGCUGAGAAAUAAAAGCAACUUAAUUUUACAUAGCAGCAAAAUGUCAGUAUGUUAAUUACAACUGUUAGAGUUUUAUAAGAUUUUAAGGAUGCCGUAAAAUGGAUUCCUUCUAAAAUAUUUAGGAUAUAAUUGUAAAUGACUUCUCUAAAACUAAGGAGCAUUAAAAGGACUUGAAAUUGUACCUAAGUUUUCAAGCUGUAUCAUAUUUGUGAACAUCAGAUCUGACAAGAACAUGACACGACAUCCCCUACGACAGUGACAGUGUGACAGCGGCAGAACGACAUCCAGUGUGAGUCCAAGGUUGUUACGGACAGCGUAGUUCUGCAGUUAAGGACUGUUUUUGCUCUCCGUGGGGUGCUCAAAACAAAUAUAGCUAUCUGUUCACCACUUUUAAGUCCAUAAUCUAUAAACCACCAUAAGCUUCCUGUAAAGUCAGUCAGAAUGCUGAGCAGAGAAGAAACGAAAUACUGGGGGCAAAAAAAAGUGAGUUCAUUUUGGCAUCAAUCAAAUUGCCCUGCACUUUGGGCAAGAUACUGCAUUUAACUUCCCAAUGGCAUAAAAUUGCAGAGAUGCUCAUUUAAGCCCGAGGUCACUUCACAUUGCCGAAGGGAUGGAUGACAUUUAAAUCAAAAUGCAUCCCAUGGGCUUUCAGCUGUAUGUCACUGGUUAAAUCGGGCCCAGGUAGGUUCUGAUUAGAAGCUAUUAGCAUUUGAUGCUCUUUAUGAAUCUGAGGAUGGUUCCCAGUGGAUCAGAGCUCGUAUCUGAGCAAUUUAAGUUUGUGUCACAUUCAUCACCAUGGUUCCUGACUGCCUUAGAAGUUAAAACACAUCUUUAUAAAACGCCUUGCAUGUCUUAUUUCUCUUUUUCUUCUCCUCCACUUGAAGUCUCCUUAAAUAGUGCUGGGAAAAUUCCUUCUGUACUGAAUGCCUGCAUUUGGUUUGGAUGAUGGGUGGGUUGGGGUCACCCCAAGGUACUGCGCACACAAACGCUGUGCUCUUGCAGCAGAUACCACCAGAGCUGUGCCUCCAGUGUGCCCAUACAAAUAAUGCAGCUAUUGCUGCAGUGAUGAUUUCAGGAGACACCGUUUUAAUUUUAGCAGAAAAAAAUGAAAUCCCCAACAAGCAACAUUGUAGGGCAGCUGUGUGUUGGUUCUUUUUCUAAGCCUGAUAAUGCUGUUCCUGGGAGCAGUGGGGCCUCUCAUAGUAUGCCACUUGCUUUUUCUGUUUACAGAACGUGAAGUUAACAGUUAAAGAUGGUAUCUGUAAGCACAGGGAGCCUCCAGACCCUGCCUGUAGGACGGACCUGUCUAUGGGCCUCCUCACUUGAUGCAAAGAUGGAGAUAGUGCAAACCACGGCAUGUUUAGCCCCACCUAUGGUAAGGCUUACCCUGUUUACUAAUACAGCCUUCAAACACAAGGCUGCAUUUCUGCCUGGGAAACUCUUCUUACCGCUGGUUUUGUUGCUGUUGGAGGCAUAGAAACAUUUUCUCCUCUCUGCUUUUCAUCAUUUUGUGGUAUCGGCGUUCCCUUAACAUAACCCAGUAUUUCGACCAUCAAACUAAUAACUUUAUUGAAACACUUUUACGUUCUUUCCAGAAUUGACACUUUAAUGUCACCUCGCUGAGGUAGAACAACAGCCAGUGUGGGUAAGGGCAGUGCAUUCAAAUGGGCGGAAAAACAAUUGGUAACAUUUCUACUUGGCCUGCCUAAUUCCAUAACAGUGCUGCUUCACUGAAAGGCAUACACGAAGCUCCAUCGCAAGAGGGACUGCUGGCAAAGCACACCACAGCCUUCUGACCUUGUUUAGCUCUAACUGGAUUAAACAUAUGGGAUCGCAGCACUCAUGGGAGAUGAGGGCUCUUCCACCAUCUCCUGGUCUGCCUGCUCGGUUUCCUUUUCCGUUCUGCUAUGCUUCAUUGAAGGCAGAAAUAACGUCCGUAUGCGGUAGCUCUGAUUCAGUGUUACUCUGGCAGGUUGUGUUUAAGCUGGGUUCCCUAGAUUACUGGAUCUGCGUUUGCCCAUGGCAGAUUUAUUUAAUCAGAACUGCAACCAUCGUUCAUUUUUGGAGUGCAGAGCCCUGGAAACCACGCUGGACUCCGUUUCGGCAAAUUUAAGCAUUUAUUCCCAUUUACCGCUGUCCAAAUUUCCUGAGAGAAAUAAAGCGGCGUUUGAAGUGGAGCACGCGGUUAGAACGACGCGCACCGCACACGUCUGCCAAGGGCAGCAGGACGGGAUCCCAACCCGGGCAGCCUCCGCUGCAGCGAGCAAAACCCGGGAGCAGCGGGACGGCCGCAGCGCUGCGCGGAGCACCGCCGGGAGAACCCACGGGAAGCGGCUGAAGCGAGGAGGGGUCGCAGCCCCACAGAGCCCGCGAGGCGCCCGGUGCCGAACG
ensembl:lncRNA